ensembl:lncRNA
GGGGUGGACCUGUCACGGCCUUCUUGCCGGGGCCAGAGCGUAGGGCUCUGUGUGACAUCGCCAGACAAGCCCCAGCCCAGACGAGCUCCAGCCCACGUCUGGAACAAACCCUCGCUCGCGGGGCGGGCGGCCCUGCAGCAAACAAAAGCCACCCUUAAUGUCCGGGAAAGUCAGCACUCCAGCUCCAAGACCGAGCUGCUGAGGCCAGGGCUGAGGUCCCGGGGGCAGGAGAAGGGUGGAGGGGGCCAGGCAGCCUCCGAGCUGGGGCGGAGGAGCCGGGUCAGUGCCGGCGCGUGACGCCCGUCGUGGGCCUGAGGUCCGAUUCCCAGACGCUGAGCCUCCCUCACCCCCUGAGCCCGGUGAGCAAGGGCAGCAUAGGAAGCGGCCCAGGGCCGGCCUGCACGAGGGUCCACUCCGAGCCCAGGCUGCUUGGACAUUUAAGGUCGGGGCAGCCUCCUGGGACCGAUAGACGGAGCUGGGCAGAGGGCCCCAGGGAACAAGUCGGGUCCACGGGGAUGUGCACUCCCGUCACGGCACACUGAGCCCAGCCACCCAUGAAGGGGGGAGGUGGGACACGUGCCCUACUGUGUGAGGUUGCGCCCCAGUGCCCUGAGCCCUCACCCUGGGAGCACACAGGCCCACCUCUAUCCCACGGUGGUGGCACCCAGAGCGGGGUGAGUUGCACAGGGUGCGCAGACGGCUGGGCUCCGGGGGUGGGGGCCACAGGCCUCUCCUCGUGGCUGCGUUGCUGUUUUCUUCUCACGGUGCAAAUGCCAUGGAGUCCUGUACUUAACACGAGCCUGUCGUCCCGGGGACACUUGACCAGCUGCCACCAGCUGUCCACGGAGCCCCAGGCCACGUCAGAGACCCCGGGUCCCCCGGGGCAGGGACAUCCUCAGGGCACAGCGCGUUGCCCUGGUGUCUGUGGAGCCUGGGUAAGCACAGGCAGUUCCCUUAGGAAAGGAGACCAGGGGCUUCCUGCCUCGCUGGCAGCUCUGGGGGGUGGGGAGGCGCCCUGGAAGCGCCUGGGACACCUGUUCUGCCUCCCGCAGGGACGUCCCCGCCAGCGCCCCCCUGGACUGGACAUCAUCGUCCCUUUCUGCCAACAGGGAGUCGGCACAGAGACACAAACAGCGCAAGCUUGCAGAGAAGCCCUGUCCCAGUCCAAGGCACCUGCCCCCCGGGAGACACCUGGAUGCCCCCAACGUGGCCUGAACAGCCACCCACCGGAGCCAGCGCAGUGA